UACGGGGGGGGCAAGCGUUGUUCGGAAUUACUGGGCGUAAAGGGCCCGUAGGCGGCCAACUAAGUCAGACGUGAAAUCCCUCGGCUUAACCGGGGAACUGCGUCUGAUACUGGAUGGCUUGAGUUCGGGAGAGGGAUGCGGAAUUCCAGGUGUAGCGGUGAAAUUCGUAGAUAUUCGCAAGAACACCAGUGGCGAAGGCGGCUCACUGGCCCGAUACUGACGCUGAGGUGCGAAAGCGUGGGGAGCAAACAGG
rnacentral:rRNA from 1 species